UAGUGACAAUUUUCUAAAUGAUUUUGUAUUGUCAGUCAAAUCAUCAGUCAAAAGAUCAGUCAAAAGAUCUCUGAAAAUAAGCACAUCCAUCCACGUGAGAAGCUUACACACUUUGACCCAAAAAGACAACAGAGUCUAUAAUAUUCUUUAUUCGAGUAAGAAGUAUUUUCACCCCACCCGUGAUCUCAUCCCAUUAUUAAAUUAGAUGGAACAAACAAACCAACAAACUAAAAACGUUACUGCUCCCGUGGUGGGAUGCAGUUGUCUUUUUUAUUGAAAAUCAAUAUGCGGAAAUAGAUUAGUUCCUCUCGAAGUAGGCAGACACCAGGCCCACGCAGACAAAUCUAGCGACCACCAGGUUUCCAGGCGAAAUAAAAUCAAUGACGUGUUACGUACAACCAUUCAUCGGAAUAACUUCACACAAUCGUUCUCUAAAAUAUUGGCUAAUUUAACUCAAGAUUAUACAAACGAUGCCCGACAGUGAGCUCGAAGCGAGUUUGACAAUGGAUCGAACGAGCGAGGAAGCGGUAGUGAGCAUGCAAUCAACAAAGCAAGCAUCCGGUUGUUUGUGGAAGAUGCAGUUAUUGAUUGGUUUUACCAUUAAGUGUAUCAAAGUAAAUUGGACAUGACCAUAGAUAUUUAUUAAUAAAAAUCCCUGUUUUAUCGGCAUCAUGAGAACAAAGGAUGGGAGAAGACGAUCCAGAUCUUGCCUCAAUAUUUCAUCAAUUAACGUGACGAACUCGGCACGAGGAGGGUGAGACAAAUGGACGCGAAGAAGAGAAUAUAGUCGGAUUUGGUGAAGAAUAGGAGACGACUCAGGCGGGGAGAGAUUUGCGAUAAGAUUGUUAGCCUUCUAUACGGUUAGCUUUCAGUUGGCGAAUAACAAAGGACCACUUCCUCCCUUGCCGACGAUGAUAAUAGGACUGAAUUGAUGGACGUUAACAAGACGCUCAUUUUUCUUCUUAUUCAUCUCCUAGGGUUGAGUGAAUUUUGUAGAACUAAUGGCAUAAGUGAGUUAAGUUUUGCAUUUUUUUUAUUAUCUAGAUAUACACAACUUGGAAAAAGUAAGAGUACACAAAAUAAGUAUAAAGAAAUAUUUGGGCAAGUUACCCAACAACAAAAUUGUCACCUUGUUGUCGAAUGUUUAGAACCAAGUUUUCCUAACCUUGUUACUCGUGGUGGUGGUGGAUUCAUUCGUAAUAAGUUUGAAUAUCUUUGA